UACGAAGGGGGCUAGCGUUGCUCGGAAUUACUGGGCGUAAAGCGCACGUAGGCGGACCAUCAAGUCGGAUGUGAAAUCCCUCGGCUUAACCGAGGACGUGCAUUCGAAACUGAUGGCCUUGAGUACGAAAGAGGAUCGCGGAAUUCCCGGUGUAGAGGUGAAAUUCGUAGAUAUCGGGAGGAACACCAGUGGCGAAGGCGGCGAUCUGGGUCGAUACUGACGCUGAGGUGCGAAAGCGUGGGGAGCAAACAGG
rnacentral:rRNA from 1 species